AUGUGCAGAGCUCAGCAGCUGGAUAUUAAAGUAGUUUAUAUUUUAUUGAGUUAUCAGAACAAGGAGAGGUUGUUUUCAGUGGAUAGAAGCUUGUUCACAGUGCAGGAGGUUUUUGUACGGCCACUUCAUGAGUUUGUAUCACUGUGGUGGACUUUUGGUGGAGGAACCAAACUCGUCGUUGACUUGGGGGUGGUGCGGCCCACCCUGACCGUCCACCCCCCCUCCGUAGAGGAGCUGCAGAAGGGCAGUGCCACAGUGGUGUGUGUGGCCAGCGGAGGCUUCCCCUCAGCCUGGAGGCUGGGCUGGAAGGUGGGGGGCAGCAGCAGCUCCUCAGGGGUGUCAAACAGCCUGGAGGACCUGGGGAGGGACGGCCGCUACAGCUGGAGCAGCACCCUGAGCCUCCCUGCAGACCAGUGGAGGAAGGCGGGCUCAGUGAGCUGUGAGGCCGGUUUGACUGGACAGAGCCCUGUCACUCAAACCCUGGAGCCUGACCGCUGCUCAGAGUAGAGCUUCAGCAACAUUUCCUGUCUGGAGGUGAUGCUGCUUCUUUGAUAGAGAUCUUGAUGAAGAUACAGAUCUCCUCUCUUCACAUAUUUCUGCAGGUUUCACAGCUCUCUACUCAUUGUUUUAGUCUGUAUGUUGCUUUCUUAUACUGAUCUUCUGCAUAUUCUGCUUCAUGUUCAUUACUCUUCAAAUUUAACUAAAUCUUGAAAUAUGGCAUAAACAUUUAAUCAUUGAAAUAAAACUGUGUAUUAA